rnacentral:rRNA from 1 species
AUGGCGCGGGGACCUGCCGACGGCGGCAUGGCGCACGGGGCGGUGCUGGUGACGCAGGCGCCGGCGCGGUGGAGCGACUGGAGGUAGUGCCCGCCGUGGCACGCCAACUCGCUGGAGAACGUCGUGCCGAAGAGCCUGCCCCGGCCGUCCGCGCACCGGAGGUACAACGACAUCGCGGCCGCCGACAAGGCGCAUGCUCCCGCGCCCGUGGCGUCGCCCAACGCCGUGCUUCCGUUCCUGGCGCUCCGCUCCAGCUCUGGCAUGGGCUGCUAA